GCCUCUUCUGAUGCAAAGACUAUUCAGUUAAGCAAAGCAGAGCGGGUCAUCACUCUGGUCUGUGUGUCAGAGGCAAUCCAGGUAAGAGCAUUACGUAUUAUAUGUAUAACUUUAAAAAUAUAUUUAAUGCUUUGUCUAAAAGUUUUAAAGUAUUUCAUUGCUAUGAAACUUGUUCUUCCUAUUUUUCUAUAUGCUCUUUUUUUUUUAGAUAUUAAUGACAUUAAUUUCUCAGACUGUUCUUAACGGUUGUGAAUCCAGUCUGUUCUAGUAGAGAAUGGUUAUCAUUUAUCUCAUGCUUGGUUAUCUCCUCUCUGAUACUUAUGCGAAAUGUGAAAACAGCACUUUGUGUAAUGAUGAAGUGUUCAUCAGCAGCGAGCCAUCCAGCCCAAAUGAGGGUGACGACGUCACUCUCACAUGCAAUGAAAAAUGUGAAAAUUCAACUGUGACUUUUCAGUGGAAGAAAAAUAAGGCGGUCAAAGAAAAAGAAAAUAAUAAGACCUUUCUUAUCCAAAGUGCCCUUUCAAUUUCUGACAUAUACAUCUGCUCAGUAAAGUGCUCCCGUUACUGUUGUGAUUCUAAACCAUACACACUGUCUGUAAAAAACAACACUGUGAUCAUCUUGGUGGUCUGUGGUGUUGCAGCUUUGGCCCUUGUUUUGAUUAUGGGACUGAUUAUGAAGUGUAAGCUGAAAAGAGACAGUGAUAAACACAGGGAGAGGGUGAGACAGAGACAGGCUGGACAGGCUGCUGGUGGGCCAUAUCCUGUCACACCCAGAGAGUCCUAAAAAGAAAACAUUCUAUCAUAUUUUGAUAUAAUAAAUUCUGAUCUUAUGCAACAUAAUAUAUAUUUAUCUUUUUGAUAUUUCAGACUUUUGAAUGCUCACAAAUUGAAUAAAUACUCUUUAAUCUCUGUUUUUGAGUGCAUGUGUGCGUGUUUAAUCAGUUAAAGUCACACUUUUCCACAAUGUAGCGUUGCAUUUCUGUUAGUUUGCUCAGUUUAAAAAAAAAAGAACCUAGAAAUGUUUUAAUCCACACACAGGAUUGGCAUGCUCGCACUAAUCCUGCUGAAUGCUCCACUCACAGUGGCACACACUGCUCAGCUUUACAGUGGCUUGCAUGUAAUGGAUAUAUGGGAGUGUAAUGCUGUCUACUCCUAUCCAUGAGAGGGAUGAAUGUGGGAUUUGAAGAUUGACUUAUGAACAUAGUAAUAGCGUUAGGUGCCUCGAUUCAAUGUCAGGAUGCAAUGAUUUGAAGUUUAAGUGUUAAGCUCGGUCUUCAUGCUGCCAGAGUGCCUGGCAUUAGCAGUGUUUUGGGGGGGUUCCCCUCCCGGCCAUAUGGCAAAAACUUAUUUAUCC
ensembl:lncRNA